CCAGACUCCUACGGGAGGCAGCAGUGAGGAAUAUUGGUCAAUGGCCGAGAGGCUGAACCAGCCAAGUCGCGUGAGGGAUGACGGUCCUAUGGAUUGUAAACCUCUUUUGUCAGGGAGCAAAGGGCGCCACGUGUGGCGCUUUGCGAGUACCUGAAGAAAAAGCAUCGGCUAACUCCGUGCCAGCAGCCGCGGUAAUACGGAGGAUGCGAGCGUUAUCCGGAUUUAUUGGGUUUAAAGGGUGCGCAGGCGGAAUGUCAAGUCAGCGGUAAAAUUUCGGGGCUCAACCCCGUCGUGCCGUUGAAACUGGUGUUCUUGAGUGAGCGAGAAGUAUGCGGAAUGCGUGGUGUAGCGGUGAAAUGCAUAGAUAUCACGCAGAACUCCGAUUGCGAAGGCAGCAUACCGGCGCUCAACUGACGCUCAUGCACGAAAGCGUGGGUAUCGAACAGGAUUAGAUACCCGGGUA
rnacentral:rRNA from 1 species